AACUGUUUUCAGACAUUGGGCAACAGCUACCACAGGACUGUGAUUCCUGAGAGAAAGGAAACAACUCUAUUUUGGUUUUAUGCCAAGAGGUAAUUUUCAGACCAUGGUGCAAAGAGAGGACACCCAAACAUAGUCCAAUAGUCUUGCUGAGUUGAGGAGAUGUAGACCAGAAUUUGGAAAGGCCAACAGGACUAGAAUUUUUUUGCUAGGACAGAGAGGAGGGAGUACCGGAGAGGAGGGACCUCUGGAGAGAAAGGACUCUAGAAAUUUACAUAGCUGAAUACCAAUCUGUGCAUGCAAUGGGUAAAGCUCCAAAAGGCUAGUCAAAGAACAAUUGUAAGAAUGCUGUUAGCCAAAUAAUUACUAGAGCUCUCAUGGGGCCAGGAAUUGUUGUUUAAUCCCAUUUAGCCUUCUAACAAAUCUUAAAAACUGAUCUGUAAGCAAGUGAACUGUCAGAACAAAAUUCAACCUUCUUCAAAAGACUACAACAAAAUCCAGCACUCAAUAUGAAAUUACUAGACAUGCAAAGAAACAGGAAAGUGAUUCAGUCAGUAGAAACAGACACAAGUGUGACAAAGAUGAUGGAAUUAGCAGAUGAAGACAUAAGACAAUCGUUAUGAAUGUGCUCAGGGAUUUAAAGGAAAGCACAAACAUGAGGAAAGAAAUGGAAGAUAUAAAACAGAAUCAAAUGAAACUUCUAGAAAUGAAAAAUACAGUAUUUGAAAUGAAAAUUUCUUUUUUUCUUUCUUUCUUUUUUUUAAUAGAGACAGGGUCUCCCUGUGUUGCCCAGGCUGGUCUCGAACUCCUGGGCUCAAGUGAUUCUCCCACCCUGGCCUCCCAAAAUCUGGGCUUACAGGUGUGAGCUACCAUGCCCAGCCUGAAUGGAAAUUUCACUGGAUAGGAUUAAUAGUAAAUUAGAUAGUGCCAGUACUGCAGAAAGAAAGACCACUAAACUUAACUCAAUGCAAUAGAAACUAUCCAAAAUGAAGCACAGAGAGAAAAGUGACUGAAAGCAAAAUAAACAGAGCCUCAAUGACUGGUGAGACAACAUCAGGCAGUCUAACAAACCUGCAACUGAAGUCCCAGAAGUGGAAGGGAGGAGAAAGAAAGAUAGUUAUGGAAAUAAUGGCCACAAUUUUUUAUGGUAAUUGUUUUUGUAAUUAAAGACUGUCUUAUGUCAGCCAUAAGAGAAAAUUAUUUCACCUGUAUCAUUUAAGAUGAAUUAUAUGAACAAUUAUUAGAUUGGAGCAGUUAUUUGAAUUCAUAGCAAAUAAUUGUCUGAAGAGAUUAACAUUUUCAGCAGGAAGAAUAGAGAAGGAAAAAUAAAUGUUGGAUUUGUGGUGAGUAGAAUACUAGAACUGAAUAUUACAAUUAUUUGUUAUAUUGUCAGUAUGAAUUGGUGUAUAUCUAAUUACAAAAAAGUAUUAUUGUACCAGUUUGUAAAUGUUUGAUUUGACCUUAUUUGCAAUAAAAGUAAAUCAAACAUUAAGUAGUAAAUAUAAGCUAUUGUUAGAAAUGCUUGUUCCCUGGUGCUGUAAAGGAUAGCACUUGAACGUAAAUUUAAUUUCCUCAGCAAGGCCAUUUUUACUUUCUGCAGAAAGGGUACACUUGCCAGCAGUUUUGCCACAAGAGUACACCGAACAAAGGAGACAGGGUCAUUUAUAAUCUGAUGCGUCCACCCUACUGCUGUGUCCGGUUUCCAUUGGCUGGAAUGGGACCUCACAUUCUGUAUUUGUCCUGAUUGGCUAGCAACUUAGAACUUUUUAAAAGAGGCAAAGGCAAAGGAGAACAAAGGAAGGAGGAAGUAACUUGUGGAAUGCUGAGAAAGGUAAAAACACCUUCAAAUAAGGAAGAGGAACAGGCUAUGACCUAAUGCUUGCUUGGACCAGUGUAAGUAUGCCAGGGCAAAUAUUUAGGCUAAAUUGUAGAAGCUAAGAACAUAAAGUACAUUGAUUUCUUUAUUAUGGCUGGCAGAUAUUUAAGAAUGUUAGCACGGGUCUUUGAAUCAAUUUUGCUUCUAAGAGAAGUUACUAUUUAUUCUUAAUUAGAUGGGGAGGAAAGUCUUUGAAAAGGAACCUCUACUUUACUUUUUACACGAUUAAUGGGUUUCUGAUUUUCAUGUAAAAAUAUUUUAAAAUCUUAUUUAGCUUCAGAAGAACUGACCAUUGCUGGCAUGACGUUUACAACUUUUGAUCUGGGUGGACAUGUUCAAGCUCGAAGAGUGUGGAAAAACUACCUUCCUGCUAUCAAUGGCAUUGUAUUUCUGGUGGAUUGUGCAGACCACGAAAGGCUGUUAGAGUCAAAAGAAGAACUUGAUUCACUAAUGACAGAUGAAACCAUUGCUAAUGUGCCUAUACUGAUUCUUGGGAAUAAGAUCGACAGACCUGAAGCCAUCAGUGAAGAGAGGUUGCGAGAGAUGUUUGGUUUAUAUGGUCAGACAACAGGAAAGGGGAGUGUAUCUCUGAAAGAACUGAAUGCCCGACCCUUAGAAGUUUUCAUGUGUAGUGUGCUCAAAAGACAAGGUUACGGAGAAGGCUUCCGCUGGAUGGCACAGUACAUUGAUUAACACAAACUCACAUUGGUUCCAGGUCUCAACGUUCAGGCUUGCUCAGAGAUUUGAUUGCUCAACAUGCAUAACUUGAAUUCAAUAGACUUUUGCUGGUUAUAAAACAGAUGUUUUUUAGAUUAUUAAUAUUAAAUCAACUUAAUUUGAGUGAGAAUUGAAAACUGAUUCAAGUAAGUUUGAGUAUCACAAUGUUAGCUUUCUAAUUCCAUAAAAGUAAUUGGUUUUUACAGUUUAUAAUCUGACAUCACCCCAGCGCCAUUUGUAAAGAGCAACUUUCCAGCAGUACAUUUGAAGCACUUUUUAACAACAUGAAACUAUAAACCAUAUUUAAAAGCUCAUCAUGUUAAAUUUUUUAUGUACUUUUCUGGAACUAGUUUUUAAAUUUUAGAUUAUAUGUCCACCUAUCUUAAGUGUACAGUUAAUAAUUAGCUUAUUCAAUGAUUGCAUGAUGCCUUACGGUUUUCAGUAACAUUUUUUCUUAUGCAAACGUCAUGCAAUAAAACAAACUCUAAUGUUUGGC
rnacentral:sRNA from 1 species